rfam:Halanaeroarchaeum sulfurireducens strain HSR2, complete genome.
UAAGGCGGCCAUAGCGGUGGGGUUACACCCGUACCCAUCCCGAACACGGAAGUUAAGCCCACCAGCGUUCCGGCGAGUACUCGAGUGCGCGAGCCUCCGGGAAAACCGGUUCGCCGCCUCCA